rnacentral:lncRNA from 1 species
AACGAUUUAAGUCCAUCAAGCUUUAAGUCUCCAUUACACCUCUUUCUCUCCAGCUAUUACAUGGAAAAAGACACUUUGAAUGGAAAAAUCUGUAUUCUUCUGUUCUUCCUGUUCAUCUUCUCUGCUGUACUCAAUCACACUAAAGCCCGAGAAAAUAAAAACAGAGGAAAUUGUCAGAUAGAUCAUUCGUACACAACGCGUGGGAUAGGGAGUGUGAUUGAUCAAAGUUCUCGCGUUGGCAAGGAGCAGAAAAUUGCCAUUCAGAUUGCUGUCAGUGACUUUAAUAAGCUUUCGUCUUGUUCAAAGCUGGCUUUGCACAUAAAAGAUUUACAUGGCAAGUCAGCUCAAGCAGCUUCUACUGGUAAAGUUUAUGCUUGCUUCAUGAAACACAGCCAUUUUUUAUUAAUUGUAGAUAGAUGUUUCUUGAAAUGUAUUACUCUGCCUAGUUUUUGUUGUUUUC